UGGAGACCUUUUCCUUGACUUAACAGGCUUUAGGAAAGAGAUUGUCCAGCAUUUCCAUUUGAGCUCCACUUAAAGCUGCAGAUCUAUCAGUGUGGUGUACAAACAUGACAGCUAAGCAAAGCCACAGGCUACCAACUGCUGAUGGUCCAAGAUCUCCAUAUGAGAACACACAUUCCCAGCUUUUCCCUGUGCCUGCUUCACCUCCAUCUCUGCAGCUGAUGAAGGCAGAGAGGGCAGCAGCAGCAGAGGGCUUCCCUGGGCUCCCUGCUCUGUGGAGAAGUGACAAGGUGCAGAGAGGGGGAUCACACCAGAGAAGCUUCCAGACCCAGGAAGUUAUUUUUUCCUCAUUCCUGAGAUGCAAAUAUCCCAUGGCCUGUGUGAUGGAAGAGCUCCUCUCAGCACGCGUGGAGCAGCCCUGA
rnacentral:lncRNA from 1 species